rnacentral:rRNA from 1 species
CCUGAAAACCAUAGGAGGUCCAGCCUGCCCAGUGACAAAGUUAAACGGCCGCGGUACCCUAACCGUGCGAAGGUAGCGCAAUCACUUGUUCUUUAAAUGAGGACUAGUAUGAAUGGCAUCACGAGGGUUACACUGUCUCCCCCAUCCAAUCAGUGAAACUGAUCUCCUCGUGAAGAAGCGAGGAUUAAAUUAUAAGACGAGAAGACCCCAUGGAGCUUUAAACUCAGUAUCAACUGUCUUACAAUAAACCAAAGUAACCUGACAGAAAUGACUACUAGUUUUCGGUUGGGGUGACCGCGGAGCAAAACAAAACCUCCACGAUGAACGGGCCUCUUACCCUUAUCCAAGAGCUACAACUCUAAGAAUCAAAAAAUUGACAAAAAUUGAUCCAAAUAUAAUUGAUCAACGAACCAAGUUACCCUGGGGAUAACAGCGCAAUCCAUUUCAAGAGCCCCUAUCGACAAAUGGGUUUACGACCUCGAUGUUGGAUCAGGGUAUCCCAGUGGUGCAGCCGCUACUAAAGGUUCGUUUGUUCAACGAUUAAAACCCU